rnacentral:rRNA from 1 species
GAUGAACGCUGGCGGCGUGCCUAAUACAUGCAAGUCGAGCGAACAGACGAGGAGCUUGCUCCUCUGACGUUAGCGGCGGACGGGUGAGUAACACGUGGAUAACCUACCUAUAAGACUGGGAUAACUUCGGGAAACCGGAGCUAAUACCGGAUAAUAUAUUGAACCGCAUGGUUCAAUAGUGAAAGACGGUUUUGCUGUCACUUAUAGAUGGAUCCGCGCCGCAUUAGCUAGUUGGUAAGGUAACGGCUUACCAAGGCAACGAUGCGUAGCCGACCUGAGAGGGUGAUCGGCCACACUGGAACUGAGACACGGUCCAGACUCCUACGGGAGGCAGCAGUAGGGAAUCUUCCGCAAUGGGCGAAAGCCUGACGGAGCAACGCCGCGUGAGUGAUGAAGGUCUUCGGAUCGUAAAACGCUGUUAUUAGGGAAGAACAAAUGUGUAAGUAACUAUGCACGUCUGGACGGUACCUAAUCAGAAAGCCACGGCUAACUACGU